GAGCCUAAACCCCCCCUUCAAACAUAAAAGUCUGGUCCCAGCUUUAAAAUCAGUUUUUUCUUAACUUACACAUGCAAGUAUCCUCAAUCCGGUGAGUAUAUCCUUAUCCCAUUGCGAAAUAAGGAGUUGAUAUAAGGCACUAUAACUUGCCCAAAACAUCUAGCAAUAGCCACACCCACAAGGGACACAGCAGUGAUUAACAUUAGUCAUGAGUGCCAACUUGAUCUAGUCAAAGAAAUACAAGGCCGGCAAAAAUUAGUGCCAGCCGCCGCGGUUACACUAUAGGCCUAGACUGAUCUUCAUCGGCGUAAAGCGUGGUCAGAGCUGCCUACAAAUUAGAAUUAAAUCUAAACUGAACAGUAAAAUGCCUGUUUUCUAGAAACUCAUACACGAAAGUUAUUCUACUAUAACAACUUGAACCCACGAUAGCCAAGACACAAACUAGGAUCAGAUACCCUAUUAUGCUUGGCCCUAAACCUUAAAUUACCCCCCCUUCGCCUAGGAACUACGAGCAAUGCUUAAAACCUAAGGGACUUGACGGUACCCCAUAUUCACCUAGAGGAGCCUGUCCAAUAACCGAUACUCCCCGUUCAACCUCACCACUUCUAGCCUUUCAGCCUGUAUACCUCCGUCCCAGCUUACCAUCUGAAUGCAUCAGUAAGCUCAAUCGCCACCCACCAGUACAUCAGGUCGAGGUGCAGCAAAUGAAGUGGGAAGAGAUGGGCUACACUCUCUAUUCUAGAAAACACGAAAGGUCAAAAUGCAACCUAACCCGAAGGUGGAUUUAGUAGUAAAAAGAAGAUAGAGCAUUCUUUUUAAUUUGACACUGGGGUGUGUACACACCGCCCGUCACCCUCUUCAAAUUAUAACAAUAGUACUUAACAAAACUUUUUACCUAAAGAAGAGGCAAGUCGUAACAUGGUAAGCGCACCGGAAGGUGUGCUUGGUAA
rnacentral:ncRNA from 1 species